ACAUAAUUUUAAUUUUGUUUUAAUUUUUGUAAAUUAUAUAUAUGAAUUGGUAUUUACUAUACUAAUAUAUCAAGGUAAAAACUUCAGUCUUUGUUCUCAGCUGUGCUGAACAAAGUUUCGAUUUUAUAGUCUCCAAUUGUUGAAACUCCUCUCUAUGGGACGAAAAGAAAACUUAUACCUGAAAUUCUCUGUUUCCUGGGUUAAUGAGUUUCUUUUUAGACCAAAGAGUCUACUUAAAGCUUAACUUAACUCUUUAUCAGAGUUGGCUUUAUGCAGUUACUUUUUGGUUUCUUUGUUUUUGUUUUUGUUUUUGAGUUGGAGUUUCAUUGUGUCGCCCAGGCUGGAGUGCAGUGGCGCAGUCUCAGCUCACUGCAACCUUCGUCUCCCAGGUUCACGUGACUGUUCCACCUCAGCCUCCCGAAUAGCUGGGAUUACAGGCACACACCACCAUACCCAGCUAAUUUUUGUAUUUUUUGGGAGAGAUGCAGUUUCGCCAUUUUGGCCAGGCUGGUCUUGAACUCCUGACCUAAAGUGAUCUACCUGUCUUGGCCUCCCAAAGUGCUGUGAUUGCAGGCAUGAGCCACCAUGCCCAGCCUAUGCAGUUACCUUUAUGUUCAUCAUUCUCUUUAGGUUAUGAGUCUUUGGAGUGUCAGUCUUUGCACUGCUGCCUUCAGGAUCAUUUCUGGAGGAUUGCAGAGAGAAGUUGGUUAGACUGGGCAGCCAACUGCAAUGGCAGAGUAGACCAGAAGCAAGGGAGGAAUAACAAGACAGGAAAAUGGAAGAGGCAGAGAGAGUCUCAAGGUCCAGGGUUAAAAGAACAGGUUCUAUACUGAAUGAUGAACCAAGAAAUAGUUCUGCCAGUAAAGUGAAAGGGGACAAUGCAGGAGGAAUAGCAAAGAUCACAACGAAGAGAGAAGUGCCUGGAAGCAGAAAGAAGGCUGCAGUGAGAGGAGGAGUCACAUACAUUGGCAGGUGGUCUCUCUCUCUCUGCCAGGGACUGUGAACCCUGCCAUUUGCCAUUAAUUGCCUUUGCUGCUUAGGUUUGUUUGUCAAUUUGGGGUCUUGGUGAAAACACAUAAUUUAUUCUCCAGUAUUUUUCUAUUCAGACUUAGGAACUGAUUCAAUUAUGGUCAGAUUCUAUGAUGAACAAUAAUUAUUGAAACCAAUACAUUAGCGUAAAAAAGAAAAGAAGGAAGGAGGAAAGAAAAGGAAAGAGAUAAGAAGAAAGUGAGAACAAGAGGAAAGAGGGAGCCGGGUGCGGUGGCUCACACCGGUAAUCCCAGCACUUUGGGAGGCCGAGGUGGGCAGAUCACGAGAUCAGGAGAUCGAGACCAUCCUGGCUAACACGGUGAAACCCCGUCUCUACUAAAAAUACAAAAAAUUAUCCGGUGUGGUGGCAGAUGCCUGUAGUUCCAGUUGCUCAGGAGGCUGAGGCAGAAGAAUGGUGUGAAUCUGGGAGGCAGAGUUGGCAGUGAGUCGACAUCACGCCAUUGCACUCCAGCCUGGGUGACAGAGCGAGACUCUGUUCCAAAAAAAUAAAAAUAAAAAGAGGAGAGAGGGAAAAAGGAAUGGAGAAAGAAAUAGGGGGAAAGAAAGAAAGAGGAAAAACUCUGAGAGAGUAAAGAUAUAGAAAACAAUUUUCCAUAUAGAGGAACUGAGAUAAUGUAUUAGUCUGUUCUCACAUUGCUGAUAAAGACAUACCUGAGACUGGGUAAUUUAUAAAGAAAAAGAGAUUUAAUGGACUCACAGUUCCAUGUGGCUGGGGAGGCCUCACAAUCAUGGCGGAAGGCAAAAGGCAACUCUUACAUGACAGCAGACAAGAGAGAAUGAAAAACUAAGUGAAAGGGGAAACCCCUUAUAAAAUCAUCGGAUCUCAUAAGACUUAUUUCUACCACAAGAACAGUAUGGGGGAAACAGCCCCCAUGAUUCAAUUGUCUCCAACUGGGUCCAUCACACAACAUGGAAUUAUGGGAGCUACAAUUCAAAAUGAAAUUUGGGUGGAGACACAGCCAAACCAUAUCAGAUGACAAGUAUUUUUAUCUUUGAAUCCUUAAACAUCUAUUUUUGUGAACAUUUAAUACCCAAUUAGAAUAAUCAGAAAACACAAUCCUACUACAUAUGCCAGCAUCUCAGAGAUAUUGUGGUUUUGGUUCCAGACCCCACCAUAAAUGGAACAAAUAGUACAGUAAGGUGAGUCACACAAUUUUUUUAUUUCCCUGUACAUAUAAAAUGUAUUUAUGUUUAUAUGAUACUGUAAGUAAAUGUGCAAUAGCAUUACAUAUAUAUAUGUGUAUAGUAAUUUUAAAAUACUUUAUUGCUAAUAAAUGCAAAGAACAAACAAUUGGAGCUUUCAACAAGUCAUAAUGUUUUGGCUGGUGGAGGGAUGGUCUUGCCCUGAGAUGGAUGGAUGGCUGCUCACUGAUCAGAUUGGAGUGACUGUGGCAAAUAAGAUAAUAAUGAAGUUUGCUGCAUAAAUUGACUGUUCACUUCAUGAAAGAUGGAUCUGUAGCAUGUGAUGCUGUUUGGUAGCAUUUUACUCAUAGUAGAACUUCUUUCAAAGUUGGGGUCAAUCCUCUUAAACCCUGCUGCUGCUUUAUUAAUUAGAUUUCUGUAAUAUUCUAAAUCUUUUGUUGUCAUUUCAACAAUGUUCAUGGCAUCUUCAUAAGUGGAUUAACCACGUUCUUUGCUCAUCCAUAAGAAGUAACUCCUCACUAUGAAAGUUUGAUCGUAAGACUGUGGCAUUCAGUCAUAUCUUCAGAGGCUCCACUUCUAAUUCUUGUUCUCUUGCUAUUCCAUCACAUCCAUAGUUACUUCCUGCACUGAAGUCUUGAACCCUCCAAAGUCAUUAAUGAGGGUUGGAAUCAACUUCUUCCAACCUCCUAUAUAUUGAUAGUCUGACCUCCUCCCAUUAAUCACAAAUGUUGCUAAUGGCAUCUAGAAAGAUUUAUCCUUCCCAGAAGUUUUCAAUUUACUUUACUCAGAUCCAUCAGAAGAAUCGCUGUUGAUGGAGCAAUAGCCUUAUCAAUGUAUUUCUUAAAUAAUAAGACAUGCAAGUCACAAUUACUCCUUGGUCUAUGUGCUGCAGAAUAGAUGUUAUGUUAACAGGCAUGAAAACAACAUUAAUAUUCUUGUACAUCUCCAUCAGAGCUCUUGGGUGAAUAGGUGUCUUGUCAAUGAACAGUAAUGUUUUGAAAGGAAUCUUCUUUUUGAGCAUGGGGUCUCAACAAUGCUCAAAUAUUUGAAGCAUUUAAGAAAAAAUGCUUAAAAUAUUUGUUCCAAUUAUAGAGCAUAGGUAGACUGACCACGAAUCUUAAGGUCACCAGAAUUUUCAGAAUGGUAAAUGAGCACUGGGUCUUCAGCCUAAAGUCACCAGCUGCAUUAUGCCCUAAUGAGAGAGUCUGCCUGUCUUUGAUGAUUUGAAGCCAGGCAUUGACUUCUCUUCUCUAGCUAUGAAAGUCCUAGAUGGCAUCUUUUUUUUCUUUUAAUAGAAAGUUGUUUUGUCUACAUUGAAAUCUGUCGUUUUGUGUAGCCACCUUUAUCAGUGAUCUUACUAGAUAUUCUGGAUAACUUGCUGCAGCUUCUUCACCAGCAGCUGAUGCUUUACCUUGCACUUUUAUGUUAUAGAGAUGACUUCUUUCCCUAAAUCUUACAAAUCAACAUCUACUAUCUUCAGACUUUUCCUCUGCAGCUUUCUCAGCUCUC
ensembl:lncRNA